UACAGAGGUCUCAAGCGUUGUUCGGAUUCAUUGGGCGUAAAGGGUGCGCAGGUGGCGGGGUAAGUCAGGUGUGAAAUUUCGGAGCUUAACUCCGAAACUGCACUUGAUACUGCCUUGCUUGAGGACUGGAGAGGAGACUGGAAUUCACGGUGUAGCAGUGAAAUGCGUAGAUAUCGUGAGGAAGACCAGUGGCGAAGGCGGGUCUCUGGACAGUUCCUGACACUGAGGCACGAAGGCCAGGGGAGCAAACGGG
rnacentral:rRNA from 1 species